rnacentral:tRNA from 1 species
UUGUAGCUCAAUGGUAGAGCGUCCGACUACUGUGCGGAUUAGGUCACAGGUUCGACUCCAGCUGGCAAAA